rnacentral:rRNA from 1 species
UACGGAGGGUGCAAGCAUUAAUCGGAUUUAUUGGGCGUAAAGGGCGCGUAGGCGGGAAUGUAAGUCAGACGUGAAAUCCCGGGGCUCAACCCCGGAACAGCAUUUGAAACUACAUUUCUAGAGGGUAGGCGGAGAAAACGGAAUUCCACAAGUAGCGGUGAAAUGCGUAGAUAUGUGGAAGAACACCGGUGGCGAAGGCGGUUUUCUAGCUUAUUCCUGACGCUGAGGCGCGAAAGUAAGGGGAUCAAACAGG